ACGGGAGGCAGCAGUGGGGAAUCUUGGUCAAUGGGGGCAACCCUGAACCAGCAAUGCCGCGUGCAGGAAGAAGGCCUUAGGGUUGUAAACUUCUUUGACCAGGGACGAUAAUGACGGUACCUGGAAAACAAGCCACGGCUAACUCCGUGCCAGCAGCCGCGGUAAUACGUAGGUGGCAAGCGUUGUCCGGAUUUACUGGGUGUAAAGGGCGCGUAGGCGGGAUUUCAAGUCAGAUGUGAAAUGCAGAGGCUUAACCUCUGAGCUGCAUUGGAAACUGUAGUUCUUGAGUAUCGGAGAGGCAGGCGGAAUUCCUAGUGUAGCGGUGAAAUGCGUAGAUAUUAGGAGGAACACCAGUGGCGAAGGCGGCCUGCUGGACGACAACUGAAGCUGAGGCGCGAAAGCAUGGGGAGCAAACAGGAUUAGAUACCCUGGUA
rnacentral:rRNA from 1 species